rnacentral:rRNA from 1 species
UUAGUGGCGGACGGGUGAGUAACGCGUGGAAAACCUGCCGUAUACUGGGGGAGUAACACUUAGAAAUAGGUGCUAAUACCGCAUAAGCGCACAGCUUCGCAUGAAGCGGUGUGAAAAACUCUGGUGGUAUACGAUGGUUCCGCGUCUGAUUAGCUAGUUGGUGGGGUAAUGGCCUACCAAGGCAACGAUCAGUAGCCGGGCCUGAGAGGGUGAACGGCCACAUUGGGACUGAGACACGGCCCAAACUCCUACGGGAGGCAGCAG